rnacentral:rRNA from 1 species
CACGUAGGGGGCAAGCGUUGUCCGGAAUUAUUGGGCGUAAAGAGCUCGUAGGCGGCUCGGUAAGUCAGGUGUCAAAUCCUCAGGCUCAACCUGGGGCUCCACCUGAUACUGCUGUGGCUAGAGUCCGGUAGGGGAGCGUGGAAUUCCUGGUGUAGCGGUGAAAUGCGCAGAUAUCAGGAGGAACACCAGCGGCGAAGGCGGCGCUCUGGGCCGGAACUGACGCUGAGAUGCGAAAGCGUGGGGAGCAAACAGG